UCGAUAUCGAAACGAAAGGGAUGAAGAGGUCUCGAGGGGGCGAGAAGGAUGGCAGAGGGGAACGUUGAAGUCGCGAAACGCAAGUGGGCAGAUACACGGGCCGAGUUCGAGGCGGUUAUCAGUCCUCGUCCCGGGGAGUAGUUAAAGUACACGGGAGUUCGGCCUACAAGAGGUAGACCGUUGUACCAGAUUCCUAUCUGCGUAAUUAUUCCGUCUAAGCGAAACUUUCCGUUUAUCCUUGAGAAUUCGCGGCUUGCAUUAAUCUCAAUUAACAAGGAGGCGCAACAUCCGUGGCGCACCGAUCAUCUACCCUGUCGGCUACCUACGCUGCGCUAAAUCGGUUCUAAUUUCUUAACUGAUCGUGCCAGGGAACCUACUACUCCAAGUGCGAUAUCGUGUUUCUCAUUUCUUUCCUUUUCGCUUGCUUUACGUUUGUCCUUUCCUCUCUCUCUCUCUCUCUCUUUCUCUUUCCGGUAGCAUUGUGUCUUUGAUCUUCAUCUUUCGACGAUUCUUUUUUACCCCUUUCUUACCCUUUUCUCAGUCUUAUUUCUCUUUUCCCUUUGCUGGAGACAUGCUCCGCUGCAUUUUGAAAACUUUGCUCGAAUAUGGUUCGAGAAAAGUGUCAGACGUUGGCCAAGUAAUACGAGUCGGUUUUUCGUAUUAUCGUCUUUAUUAUUUCCACGGCGAAAACGCGGUUGAUAGCGUCUCAAAUAAGUGGAAUACCGUGUUUCCUAUUUUUCCAGACAGCCCUUUCCGAGAUGUCUUACGAUACACCUGGCCAUAUACCGCCAGUUUCUCGUUUGUCUCUUUCUUCCGUUUCUUUUCUUUUCUCGUGUCGAUAAGUUUCGUCUCUUUGGAUUUCGUUUCGAAGUAUCACCAAUUACGCGAACUGUCAUUCGUUCCGAUAAUCGAUCACACUUUCAGUUAUUUCUUCAGUUAUUUGUUUUUAAACGUUGUUUGUAACGUUUUCGCAACGUACAAACUGCAUACUCAAGUUAUCAAGGAUUAAUACUUUUAUCUCUUCUCCUUUUAUUUUCGUUGCGUCUCUCGCGCUGCUUCAGCUCGGUAUAUCGAGGCUGAAAUCUCCUUACACAAGCUACUUUUGUCUCUUUCCUUACUCGUAUGUCCAUCUAUUAAGGUUACACGUGAAUCUAUGGCCGAAGCCGAUGCCGUUACCGUAAGUUACGCUGCUCAGGGGAGAAUAACUCUCUCGCAAGGGAGUUUCGAUCAGUUUCACGGCGCGAAUCUCGGCCAAAUGGAAGAUUCGCGUGUCGAUUAGAAAACGGAUGUACAUCGGAAACGCAUUAACUUGCCUCGGUCAGAAUCUUUUCGAUAUUUCUCUCGUUGAACCAACUCGUGGAAUUGCAAAUUUACUUAUCCUCUUCGAUACAUUGUGAAAGUAUCGAGAUUCAUCCCAUUGACCAGGGUAAUAAAUAUUCGUUUCAUUUUUUAACUAUACUUUAGAAUAAUAAUUCCACAAUUUGUACA